rnacentral:rRNA from 1 species
UAGGGAAUCUUCCACAAUGGACGCAAGUCUGAUGGAGCAACGCCGCGUGAGUGAAGAAGGCUUUCGGGUCGUAAAACUCUGUUAUUGAAGAAGAACGUGUGUGACAGUAACUGGUCAUGCAGUGACGGUAUUCAAUCAGAAAGUCACGGCUAACUACGUGCCAGCAGCCGCGGUAAUACGUAGGUGGCAAGCGUUGUCCGGAUUUAUUGGGCGUAAAGCGAGUGCAGGCGGUCUUUUAAGUCUGAUGUGAAAGCCUUCGGCUUAACCGAAGAAGGGCAUCGGAAACUG